CUGUAAGCUCUCAUACCCACCUAAACACGCCCACACACAUACAUUUUGAUGUGAGGUUUCAAAGUCUGUGAGAGCGAUGUUAGCUGGGUAACAUCAUAUUAUCCCAGAGGUCAGACCCAAUGUGAGCGGGUUUGCUGGCCAUACGGAUGUUAGGGUUGUGCCAGCCAAUCCUGGUAUAAGCAUGUAGUUAAUGGGAUAACAUGCCUUCAUAGAGACUGAUUUCAGGGUUUUUUUGUUUUUUUUACCGCACAGCACAGGCCGCUCGAUAAGAAGAGGCAUUCGGUUGAGCUGUUCUCUGUGUUUGAAAUGUCAGGGCAUGAAGGUGGGGCUGGCAUACCGGUGGGCCUGCAAAGGCAUGAGCUCAGGCCGCAGGUAUACAGAGUACAGACACAGACGCACGUGUCUCACAGACACAGCUGAGUGUAAGUGCAGGCUGCUAUUUAAAAAGGUAACUGUAAUGGUCACUUUAAGAAUACUACAGGAGAGACUAACGGGGUAAAUAUAUACUUCAGAACAGAAUUAGUCUUUUCAGACACCCAACCCACUUCUUUAGAAGCUAAAGACUUUGAUUCAUAGGGAAAUAGAAUUAUUUAUAAAUUUGAAAAAGUAACCAUUUGAAUUUAUCUCCUGGCUAAAUUAAGAAUUUCAACAGCAAGAAAACAGUGAUCGGCCUUGCCUGUGACCUACCAAGUUCUGAAACUCGAUUCACAAAGAAACGCUUGGAGACGUUGCCAUCUAGCCCACAAUGCUCCCAUUUUAGGAGGACUUGGGAGGGAUUGGUGUGUCCCAAUUGGAAAAGUAAUUUAGGAGCACUCUUUGGAAUGCAUUGGUGCAACCCUCAAUUUUUCAACUCAAGAGCAUGUGCUCUUUGG